ACGCCACUGCCCAGGUCGACUACCACUCCCGGGCACCUCGGGAAGCGAACCAGAGACUGUCCCCUCCGCCAGCAUCCUAGAAGGCCAGGAAAGAGACGAGCUGAGCGCCUCCUUAAAGCUGCGCAGACUGCCCUCAAUCCCUCCCCCCUGGAGCUCCAACUGGUAGUCCCCUGCAUCAGCCUUGCCCAGCUUCUCCUUUCCUCCUCAGCUCAACUCCUGCUUGCCCUUCGGGAGACCCACCCUGGCCACCCUACAGAGGAGGUGCCCUUACCUGUGCCCGGGUGGGGUGCGGGGUCACAGGCCUGUUGCCCUGAAGUAGAGCGUAUCUUGUUGACCUUGAACUUCGGCAUUGAAGGACCCCUCUCCUGAGCUCUCAGCAUCACCUUUGGAGACGCCUAAUAGAAUGUGAGCAUCGUGUACUCUUCCUUCCAUUGCUCACAAAUGUGGCUGCUGCUUGCACACCAAGAACCAUCCUUAACAUGUAGGAGGCACUGGACAUCACUGAUUAAGGAGUAGCAUAUGUAAGCCUGGCUUAUUCACAGGAGUGACUCAUGCCCUGGGACACAAGGCCUUGUCUAGUGUCACAACCCCUUUAGGCAACUAGAUCCUUGUCUUUGAGUAUAAAUGCUUCAGGAGAAACAGCAAUGAUAACCAGCUGCAGACUUGACAAGAAUAAUGCUGCUGUAUGGAUCGGGGAAGUGGCUCAGUUGGACGGUUCUUGCCAUGCAAGCAGGAGAAGCUGAGUUUGGAUCCCAGCACGCAGAGAAAAGCACCACAGCGUACGUGUAUGACCCCUGCACUGGGGCAAGCGGUGAAGCACAGAGAAAGAAGGGUCCCUGGAAUGUGUUGGCCAUGCAGGCAGGCCAAACUGCUAAGCUUCAGGAGCAGUGAGCGUAUUGGUUACUUCUCUGUUGCUGUGACCAAAACACCAUAACUUAAAGAAGGAAGAGUUUAUGUAGGGGCUACAGUCCCAGAGGAGGAGAAAUGGUAUCAGAAGACCAAAACAGGAAGCUAAGAAAUCAUAGCUUCAACUGUAAACACAAAGUAGAAAGCAAAAAUGUACGGAUGAAGCUAUGAACCCUCAAAACUGUCCCCAAUGACAUAUUUCUUCCAACAAGGCUGUUUUACCCCACUAAACAUCUCUACAACCAAGUAUUC
rnacentral:lncRNA from 1 species